rnacentral:rRNA from 1 species
GGUUAAGUUAGAAAGGGCGCACGGUGGAUGCCUUGGCACUAGGAGCCGAUGAAGGACGGGACGAACACCGAUAUGCUUCGGGGAGCUGUAAGCAAGCUUUGAUCCGGAGAUUUCCGAAUGGGGAAACCCACCACUCGUAAUGGAGUGGUAUCCAUAUCUGAAUACAUAGGAUAUGAGAAGGCAGACCCGGGGAACUGAAACAUCUAAGUACCCGGAGGAAGAGAAAGCAAAUGCGAUUCCCUGAGUAGCGGCGAGCGAAACGGGACCAGCCCAAACCAAGAGGCUUGCCUCUUGGGGUUGUAGGACACUCUGUACGGAGUUACAAAGGAACGAGGUAGAUGAAGAGGUCUGGAAAGGCCCGCCAUAGAAGGUAACAGCCCUGUAGUCAAAACUUCGUUCUCUCCUGAGUGGAUCCUGAGUACGGCGGAACACGUGAAAUUCCGUCGGAAUCCGGGAGGACCAUCUCCCAAGGCUAAAUACUCCCUAGUGACCGAUAGUGAACCAGUACCGUGAGGGAAAGGUGAAAAGCACCCCGGAAGGGGAGUGAAAGAGAUCCUGAAACCGUGUGCCUACAAGUAGUCAGAGCCCGUUAACGGGUGAUGGCGUGCCUUUUGUAGAAUGAACCGGCGAGUUACGAUCCCGUGCAAGGUUAAGCAGAAGAUGCGGAGCCGCAGCGAAAGCGAGUCUGAAUAGGGCGAAUUGAGUACGUGGUCGUAGACCCGAAACCAGGUGAUCUACCCAUGUCCAGGGUGAAGUUCAGGUAACACUGAAUGGAGGCCCGAACCCACGCACGUUGAAAAGUGCGGGGAUGAGGUGUGGGUAGGGGUGAAAUGCCAAUCGAACCUGGAGAUAGCUGGUUCUCUCCGAAAUAGCUUUAGGGCUAGCCUCAAGGUAAGAGUCUCGGAGGUAGAGCACUGAUUGGACUAGGGGCCCCUACCGGGUUACCGAAUUCAGUCAAACUCCGAAUGCCGAUGACUUAUCCUUGGGAGUCAGACUGCGAGUGAUAAGAUCCGUAGUCGAAAGGGAAACAGCCCAGACCGCCAGCUAAGGUCCCAAAGUAUACGUUAAGUGGAAAAGGAUGUGGAGUUGCUUAGACAACCAGGAUGUUGGCUUAGAAGCAGCCACCAUUUAAAGAGUGCGUAAUAGCUCACUGGUCGAGUGACUCUGCGCCGAAAAUGUACCGGGGCUAAACGUAUCACCGAAGCUGCGGACUGUUCUUCGAACAGUGGUAGGAGAGCGUUCUAAGGGCUGUGAAGCAAGACCGGAAGGACUUGUGGAGCGCUUAGAAGUGAGAAUGCCGGUAUGAGUAGCGAAAGAGGGGUGAGAAUCCCCUCCACCGAAUGCCUAAGGUUUCCUGAGGAAGGCUCGUCCGCUCAGGGUUAGUCGGGACCUAAGCCGAGGCCGAAAGGCGUAGGCGAUGGAUAACAGGUUGAUAUUCCUGUACCACCUCCUCACCAUUUGAGCAAUGGGGGGACGCAGGAGGAUAGGGUAAGCGCGGUAUUGGAUAUCCGCGUCCAAGCAGUUAGGCUGGGAAAUAGGCAAAUCCGUUUCCCGUGAAGGCUGAGCUGUGAUGGCGAGCGAAUUAUAGUAGCGAAGUUCCUGAUUCUACACUGCCAAGAAAAGCCUCUAGCGAGGUGAGAGGUGCCCGUACCGCAAACCGACACAGGUAGGCGAGGAGAGAAUCCUAAGGUGAUCGAGAGAACUCUCGUUAAGGAACUCGGCAAAAUGACCCCGUAACUUCGGGAGAAGGGGUGCUCUGUUAGGGUGCAAGCCCGAGAGAGCCGCAGUGAAUAGGCCCAGGCGACUGUUUAGCAAAAACACAGGUCUCUGCGAAGCCGUAAGGCGAAGUAUAGGGGCUGACGCCUGCCCGGUGCUGGAAGGUUAAGAGGAGCGCUUAGCGUAAGCGAAGGUGCGAAUUGAAGCCCCAGUAAACGGCGGCCGUAACUAUAACGGUCCUAAGGUAGCGAAAUUCCUUGUCGGGUAAGUUCCGACCCGCACGAAAGGCGCAACGAUCUGGGCACUGUCUCAACGAGAGACUCGGUGAAAUUAUAGUACCUGUGAAGAUGCAGGUUACCCGCGACAGGACGGAAAGACCCCGUGGAGCUUUACUGCAGCCUGAUAUUGAAUGUUGGUACAGCUUGUACAGGAUAGGUAGGAGCCUUGGAAACCGGAGCGCCAGCUUCGGUGGAGGCAUCGGUGGGAUACUACCCUGGCUGUAUUGACCUUCUAACCCGCCGCCCUUAUCGGGCGGGGAGACAGUGUCAGGUGGGCAGUUUGACUGGGGCGGUCGCCUCCUAAAAGGUAACGGAGGCGCCCAAAGGUUCCCUCAGAAUGGUUGGAAAUCAUUCGCAGAGUGUAAAGGCACAAGGGAGCUUGACUGCGAGACCUACAAGUCGAGCAGGGACGAAAGUCGGGCUUAGUGAUCCGGUGGUUCCGCAUGGAAGGGCCAUCGCUCAACGGAUAAAAGCUACCCCGGGGAUAACAGGCUUAUCUCCCCCAAGAGUCCACAUCGACGGGGAGGUUUGGCACCUCGAUGUCGGCUCAUCGCAUCCUGGGGCUGUAGUCGGUCCCAAGGGUUGGGCUGUUCGCCCAUUAAAGCGGUACGCGAGCUGGGUUCAGAACGUCGUGAGACAGUUCGGUCCCUAUCCGUCGCGGGCGCAGGAAAUUUGAGAGGAGCUGUCCUUAGUACGAGAGGACCGGGAUGGACGCACCGCUGGUGUACCAGUUGUUCUGCCAAGGGCAUCGCUGGGUAGCUAUGUGCGGACGGGAUAAGUGCUGAAAGCAUCUAAGCAUGAAGCCCCCCUCAAGAUGAGAUUUCCCAUUCCGCAAGGAAGUAAGAUCCCUGAAAGAUGAUCAGGUUGAUAGGUCUGAGGUGGAAGUGUGGCGACACAUGGAGCUGACAGAUACUAAUCGAUCGAGGACUUAACCAA